GAUGAAGAACGCAGUGAAAUGCGAUAAUUAAUGUGAAUUGCAGAAUUCAGUGAAUCAUCGAGUCUUUGAACGCACAUUGCGCCCCCUGGUAUUCCGGGGGGCAUGCCUGUCCGAGCGUCAUUGCUGCCCUCAAGCACGGCUUGUGUGUUGGGCUUCCGUCCCUGGCAACGGGGACGGGCCCAAAAGGCAGUGGCGGCACCAUGUCUGGUCCUCGAGCGUAUGGGGCUUUGUCACCCGCUCCCGUAGGUCCAGCUGGCAGCUAGCCUCGCAACCAAUCUUUUUAACCAGGUUGACCUCGGAUCAGGUAGGGAUACCCGCUGAACUUAAGCAUAUCAAUAGCGGAGGA
rnacentral:misc_RNA from 1 species